GCCUUGGCUGGGCGGUCCUGCCUUUUGGUCGGUACUGUUUGGCUAGGGUUCACCUUCUGGUGAGACGGCAUGCUCUUCACUGGGUGUGUCGGGGAACCAGGAUCUUUACUUUGAAAAAAUUAGAGUGUUUAAAGCAGGCAUCCGCUUGAAUACAUUAGCAUGGAAUAAUGGAAUAGGACUUUGGUUCUAUUUUGUUGGUUUCUAGGACCGAGGUA
rnacentral:rRNA from 1 species